CUCGCCUGACCUUAUCCACCGCCCCGACGCCACGACUGGCCGCGAGCGACGCAGGACGCCGCAUACAGCGCGCGCGAGCCCCCACCCCCUUCCCCUUCCCCUCCCUCACCCCGCCCGCCCCUCUUCCCCCCGGAAGCGCGCGAGCUGCUGCCGGAAUCAGCAGGCCGCGAAGAUGGUGGCCGCCUUCGCCGUCACUCCUUCCUCCUCCAUAUGCGGCGUUUGUAUCCCGACGGCGUGCCGUUCGGAGGCGCGGGGCAUAGUGCCGGCGGCGAGGUUCCUCCGUAACCGGAGCCAAGCGAACAGACGGUCUGCAGUAGCUUGGUCUUUGAAGGCGGGUCUAUGGGACUCUCUCAAAUCUGGGUUUUUAAAAACUAGUAAUAGUACAGAGACAGUAGAGCCACCAACUACACCACUUGAAGAAGAAGAACUUGUACCUGAGGAAUUAGUGCUCCUAGAAAGGACACUCCCUGAUGGUAGCACAGAACAGAUCUUAUUUUCUUCAGCUGGUGAUAUUGAUAUAUAUGAUCUCCAGGCCUUAUGUGACAAGGUUGGAUGGCCACGUAGACCUCUAACGAAAAUAGCAGCAUCCUUAAGAAACAGCUACUUGGUCGCUACACUACAUUCAAUAAUCAGGUCUUCAGAAACAGAGGGAGAAGAGAAGAAGCAACUGAUUGGUAUGGCGCGGGCAACUUCAGACCAUGCGUUCAAUGCUACAAUCUGGGACGUCCUCGUUGAUCCUUCCUAUCAGAAGUUAAUCAUUCCAGGGUCAAGGUCUUGGUAAAACACUCAUGGAGAAAGUGAUCCGUACUUUGCUCCAGAGGGACAUCAGCAACAUCACGCUAUUUGCAGAUAGUAAAGUGGUGGACUUCUACAAGAACAUGGGGUUCGAAGCUGACCCCCAGGGCAUCAAGGGCAUGUUCUGGUACCCCAGAGUUUAGCUCCGGUGGAGCGGCGUUCGACGACCGGCACAGUUUGCGCCAGUGCAGAAGAAUAUUGCCAGGAGCUGAGCUUUGUAUAACAGUGACUCGAGUGGCCGAUGGGCCGGAUGCCAUGCCGUUUGCAGCAUCUGGUUGGUCUGUAUGUAACUGCUACUAGUAGUAGUAGAAAAGUAAAGCACCCCUGUUUUCGUACGUACUGCGAAGGAGACGGCCACAGCGAACGUUAUUAUACUGUGGAGGAAGCCAGGAAAUUGUUCUUCCAAUCAA